rnacentral:lncRNA from 1 species
GGCAUGAUUUUUUUUAUUGACCGUGGAUUCCGCUUCAGCAAUUGGAACCAUAACAUGUCUCCUUUGAGCUAGAAUCUGCUCUAGCCUCUUCACGCACUGUGGAUCCAUUCUUCCCCAAGGAAGUGAUGAGAGAUCAAUACAAAAAAAAUCUAUGGAUAUCCAUUCUUCAAAAGCAUAAAUUUAAAGGAGAAAGAAAAUGAAAAGCUGCAGCAAAAUAAUUAAAGCCU